rnacentral:lncRNA from 1 species
AGAUUUAGAUCUACCCGGUUCUCUAGAGUAACAGUAUUGCUCUAUGCUCUGUAGUAGAACAGAGGCACCUCUCAUGCGGAAAGCAAGAAAAGGUGAGAAAUGCUUGCUUUUCGCAAAAGAAAAAAAAAGUUGAUUCCUUGCUGUUGCAAGUUGAUACCGUGGAAGCAGGAAGCAUAUCAUGCUUUCGUUUCUGUAGCCAGUCCACAAAAGCCUCGUCUUUCAUGGACUCUGUAUGCUUCAGGGUUUUGCACUCAGGGCAACUGGAUGCAAGAAUUGCAGAGCAUAAACUUAAGACCAAAGGAAUAGCUUUGUGGCAUGUAUGAUCAUAAUCCAUGAUUCACUGUACGUCUGAACAAACAACGAUAUGUUUCUGCCACUGAGGAUUAAAAAAAUAGGUAGGGGCUAUCCUGCUGACUUCGGUAACCAAAAAAAAAGAAAACAGAAGGAGAAGAUCAGGAGAAAGGUUGCAAACUUGCGGUCCGUGUGCCACCAGGCCUGUCUUCGUG